rnacentral:lncRNA from 1 species
ACCUUCGUCUCCAUCUCCAGCGACGUUCUGAACGGCUCAGUUCUCGUCUCUAUCGAGGCGAUAUGACUGAAGAAGUUUUGUCAUCAUUCUUUCUUUUUUUUUUGAGAGAUAGGUAGCACGCUACCCACUUCGUUUAUUUUAUUUAGAAAUAAACUUAGCUGGAAAUGUGAAUCAACUAGGAUUCAAACUUUGGAUCUCGCGUACCAACUACCAAACCCUUUGUGACUUGCUCUAGGGAUAGUCGGUGCCAUCAUUCUUUCACUUGUAGGCAAUAUAGGGGAGAAGUGUGCUCGUGGUGUGGGGGCAUUGGAGGAGAGAAAGAGAGUAAAAAGGGAGAGAAUAGUAAUAUUGUGUUUAAUUUUUAAAAAAUUCGGUUCGAUUCUACAAAAUAAAAAAAAUCUGUUUUCACAAAAAUAUGAAAACUAGUAAAUUUUUAUGUGAAUCGGUCAACUUUAUAUUAAAAAUUUUAAAGUUAAAAUCUAAUUUGUUAAAUAUAUUUUAUAACAUAUCAUAAAUUUUAUAUACUAAUUUCUUAUACA